UCCUACGGGACGCAGCAGUGGGGAAUAUUGGGCAAUGGGCGCAAGCCUGACCCAGCAACGCCGCGUGAAGGAAGAAGGCUUUCGGGUUGUAAACUUCUUUUGUCAGGGACGAAGCAAGUGACGGUACCUGACGAAUAAGCCACGGCUAACUACGUGCCAGCAGCCGCGGUAAUACGUAGGGGGCAAGCGUUAUCCGGAUUUACUGGGUGUAAAGGGAGCGUAGACGGCUAAUCAAGUCAGAAGUGAAAACCUAGGGCUCAACCUUGGGAGUGCUUUUGAAAAUGAGAAGCUAGAGUGCAGAAGAG
rnacentral:rRNA from 1 species